rnacentral:rRNA from 1 species
AUGGAAAAACAUCUUGUAAUGUAUUUAACCAUAAAAUCGAUUAUGCUCCUACGGAAGUAUCUACUCGUAACGGAAUUUCAGGUGUCAAAGUGCGGAUCUCAUAUAGUCAAAAUAAGAAGGGACGUGCUAUAUCCGAAACGUACGAAAUAUAGUAAAUAUUUUAAAUGCAGAUGUAGUAGGGGUCGCGAACCGGAUGGUACACAACUUGGUUUUGGAAGAUAUGGCACCAAAAGUUGUAGAGCUGGUCGUCUUUCAUAUCGAGUCAUUGAAGCAGCACGUCGGGCUACAAUCGAACAAUUCCAUCGUGCUAUGAGCGGACAAUUCCGAAGAAAUUGUAAGAUAUGGGUAAGAGUUCUCGCAGAUCUUCCUAUUAUGGGGAAACCCGCAGAAGUUCGAAUGGGAAGAGGAAAAGGAAAUCCGACGGGUUGGAUUUCUCGUGUGUCCACGGGACAAAUCCCAUUUGAAAUGGAUGGUGUGAGUUUGUCAAAUGCUCGACAAGCCGCUAGAUUAGCGACACAUAAACCAUGUUCGUCAACCAAGUUUGUUCAGUGGUCGUAA